rnacentral:rRNA from 1 species
GGGGGACCUUCGGGCCUCUUGCCAUCGGAUGUGCCCAGAUGGGAUUAGCUAGUAGGUGGGGUAACGGCUCACCUAGGCGACGAUCCCUAGCUGGUCUGAGAGGAUGACCAGCCACACUGGAACUGAGACACGGUCCAGACUCCUACGGGAGGCAGCAGUGGGGAAUAUUGCACAAUGGGCGCAAGCCUGAUGCAGCCAUGCCGCGUGUAUGAAGAAGGCCUUCGGGUUGUAAAGUACUUUCAGCGGGGAGGAAGGGAGUAAAGUUAAUACCUUUGCUCAUUGACGUUACCCGCAGAAGAAGCACCGGCUAACUCCGUGCCAGCAGCCGCGGUAAUACGGAGGGGCAAGCGUUAAUCGGAAUUUCCGGCGCAAGCGCACGCAGCGUCCACG